GACAUCCUGGUGCUUACCACAGGCUGUGUUCUUACACUGACUGUAUAAAAAGAGGAGGCAAAGUAAGCAUACCUAUUAAAUACCUCAGUCAAGUCCUGCACCUGGUCAUUUUUUGUGAAUGGGGAGAUAUUG
rnacentral:snoRNA from 1 species